rnacentral:rRNA from 1 species
AUGCACGCUGGCGGCGUGCCUAAUACCUGCAAGUCGAGCGAACGGACGAGAAGCUUGCUUCUCUGAUGUUAGCGGCGGACGGGUGAGUAACACGUGGAUAACCUACCUAUAAGACUGGGAUAACUUCGGGAAACCGGAGCUAAUACCGGAUAAUAUUUUGAACCGCAUGGUUCAAAAGUGAAAGACGGUCUUGCUGUCACUUAUAGAUGGAUCCGCGCUGCAUUAGCUAGUUGGUAAGGUAACGGCUUACCAAGGCAACGAUGCAUAGCCGACCUGAGAGGGUGAUCGGCCACACUGGAACUGAGACACGGUCCAGACUCCUACGGGAGGCAGCAGUAGGGAAUCUUCCGCAAUGGGCGAAAGCCUGACGGAGCAACGCCGCGUGAGUGAUGAAGGUCUUCGGAUCGUAAAACUCUGUUAUUAGGGAAGAACAUAUGUGUAAGUAACUGUGCACAUAUUGACGGUACCUAAUCAGAAAGCCACGGCUAACUACGUG